GUGAGGCAUAAAAGGCAUCACUCCUAUUUUUUGAAAAGCUUCUCCCUUUAUUAGCUAUAUGAAAUGCAAAGAUAUAGGAGCAUGUAAACCAAUAAUAGCUAUUCAGUCUAAACUCUAAGGAUAACUUACUAUGGGCACUGGAGGCUGAGAUAGGAUGUUGUAUUUGCAUACAUACAGUAUAUGGAGAACUGUUCUGUUUUAUGGAGCAGCAAUCAUAUUUAGUUUAAUGUCUUAUAAGUCCCAUAAAAUGACAUUAAGAAAUUUUGCUAUUUGGCUGGUGAACAAUCUAAGCAGUGGUGUUAACUCAUCAUAACACCCUUACUCUGAAAGCUCAAGCCUCAUAAAAUUUGGGAUAUAAAUAUGCCAGCUCAACUAAACGAGAUCAGAGAUCUUGCAUAUAUUCUUUCAUAGGGUGGCAUCCAAAAAUCGACUGUUCACCUAAAUCUUUUAAGAAUUUCUACCAUUUUAAGGCUGCUGGGGAGUCUUAAUCUCAGAAAAAUCACACUCUUGCCCUUUUGUUUCUAGACAUAUCCAGUCACUUAGCAGACAACCUAGCAGGGUUUGGACAGUGCUGGUGGAUGUGACAUGACCUCUGAGAGUCCUGUGCUCUUGAAAUGGCAGAUAAGUAAUAGGAAGCAUUCCUAGGUAAUCUAAAAUGAUAGUGAAUGAUUUCUGGAGUGGAGCAGCAAAAGCACAAGUGCUUUCUAUUAGGAGAAACAAGAAAGAAGUGCUGUUUUCACAGUAUUUCCAGGGCUUAUGGGAGUACCAAAAGUCUCAUUUCCGAAGUGUGGACUUUCAUGUCAUUACUUUUAUUUCCUGGAGACCUGCACUAAGUUAAUCCCAACUCAACAGUAUUUAGACAUUCAGCUUCACUGGGAAGAAGAUGGUGAGAUUUUGGCUUUUGUAAUGGCACUGCACAAGGACGAUGGAGCACAAUCUAUCCACUAUGAAACACUCCUCCUUCAAAGGCAAGCUCAUCUUUCUCUGCCUCAUUCCAAUGUGCUGUAAUUCAGGACAGCUCCAGACCAUGGCUAAAUACAGAGUAUGGAGGUUCCAUCAGAGAACCAGACCGUCCUAUAUCCAUCAGUCUCACUUGUGUGGGGUUAAAUCUCAGUCCCCCAAUACCUCCGCCCAGGAAAAAUCUACUAGACUAUGUGCAGCUCCCAUAGCAAGGGCAAGAGUGCUUCUCUUUUGCUGGAAGAAGGUUUCUUCUCCUGAGGACAAGGAACAACUUUGAGAGGAAGGCCAGAGAGAGGAUCUUUUGAGAGGCUUUGAGAGGAUCUUUUGCAAAACCUGCCUGUUGAGAAGAGGUGCAGGUAAGGUGAGGUGGGCUGUGGAAGAGCUGGCAGUGGGGAUGCAGAUGUGCAGCUGGUGGCCAGAGCAGGAGGCUGGCACUGAGCUCUGCAGCACUCGGCAUGGAUAUGCACAGCUUUGCUAAGGCAACAGGGCCACAGCAAUCAAAACAAGGGAUAAUGAGUACCUCAGGAAGAUAUGAAACUGUCUGUUUGGGGAAGGCAGGUUGUAUCUUAGAUAUAAUAAAUAUCCAGCUGAGUUAGAUUUAUCCUGUACCUGAGGAGAUUAGCAUGAGACUGACUAUAUUGAAAUAACUAUCCACUAAUUAUUUUUAUUUUUUUUUGCUGUAGCAGAGAAACACUGGCUUUGGCCCAGGCCUCUUGUUCUAAUGCUUAAAUUAAUAGUCCUGACAGUAGAAUUUAGUAUUUAUAUUCGAUAGACUGAAUGCAGAAGGGAGAAAAUAAUACUGUCAGCCAUGUUUUUCAGGUAAGGUACAAAGGAAGUAAGACUUCUGCAAGGAAAUAUUUCAGUGUACAGGGAAUUACACCUCUCUUUUUCUCAUUCUCACCCCACUUUCUAUCCCACAAGGCAGAAUAGCAAAGCACUUUAAACAUCUAAAUUUAUCAUAAGUAUGAUGUGCUGGUUUUCAUUAGUGUGCAAUAAACAAAAACAUCAAAUACCAGACAGAAACGAGUGAAAGGGUUGAUUAAAAUUUUGUAGCCCCUUCACUUAUGUAUUUUUACUCAAAAACUGCCUAAUUCAGAGUUUGUUGGAUUUGGUAAUUCAAUUCAAUAGAGAAAAAUUACUAACAAGCUUCAGAGCAGCAAUGAAGUUGGCUUGUGCCACUAGGCAUAAAGACACUGCGGUAUGAAGAGGCCAGAGAACUUGAAAAGUUCUUCAGCACUCCUCACCAGCAUGUGAUAAGACAAAUGAAGGAGACCACAGUGGAAAAGCAGUGAUUUAUUACCUGAUCUGUGAAGCAAAGCCAUUGCAGCACCACAGAAGGGAUGAGUUGCUUUGUGGUGUGAUUGUCACUGUUUGAGGCCAUCAUGAGCCCAAGGCCAGAACUGAAGGGGAGAGAGAAACCAUCAGGUUUUGAUCAUAGGUCCCCUUCUCUUCUUUUUGUCUUUAUCUUUUACAUCUGAGACCAGGACAUGCCUGGGCACUUUGCCUUGUCAUCAGCAAGGGAGACCUCUGUAAGGAGGGAAUACAAGGUUCUCCUCCACUGGAUAGUUCCACCACCGGCCAAUGCGCCUGUUCCGUUCAAAAGGUUUCCCUUUGUCUAGAAACUCUGGGUUAUUUCAGCCAGAAAUACUGCAGAAAUACCAUUAAAACAAUAACACAAUGGCAUGGUUUUGGUGCAUCGCUCCACCCUCAUGAGUACAAAGAUGGCCACCACUAAAGCAUUGAUUCUUCCCCAAAAUUAGAUUCAGAUUCAGAGUCUGGAUGUACUCGUCUACAGCAGCAUGCUUUGGAAAAGGAGGAUGGCACACUCUGAAAAGACUACAUGCAACAUAAUACAAGGCAGGAUAUAAAAUAUCUUUGCCUGAAAAAAAGGUGAAAUACUUUAUUUUACAUCAUUUCCAAAAAUGGGCUUGAUGGGGCUCAUCAGGAAAGCAGCUCAGUUGUGCUGUUGCCUGAUUUGUGAGAGACACACUGACACAGAGCUCCUUUUUCUGGGGAGUCAAGUGUGAGAAAUGGGUUGCAAUCAACAAGCUAUAGGUGUAUCAAAAUACAUUUGAUUGUGAAGGAGCCACAUCAGCUAAAUUCAUUGAAACACCCAAGAGGUGAGUAGGGCUUAGCAAAACAUUUAAGCAAUUUGGGUUUUUUUAGUGUAAGGAAGCGUGAAAGUAUGAAGAUAUGAAGAAGAUGUGAAGGUGCCCCUGGAAUCCUAUUUUACUGGCUCUCAGCUGCAUCUUUUAAAAAAAAAGUAGACUGCUUGCUACUCUUUUUUCAUUAUUUUAAACAAAUCUAAACAUAGAAUUCAUGCUUACAGGACGUAGAGGUAUUUUGGGAAGAAUGCAGUAUGGGUGGGGCAUUUCACCCUUUGUACUGGGAAGUUAUUAAUGUUUUCGGGUAAACCAUCUAAAUUUAUGGUGCCUGAAGAUAUUUAUAUAUGCUCCCUCAAAGUACAAAUUACAGCAGUCUUGAGCUUUUUUUCCUGAGGUCUUUUUCAUAGCUCUCUAUGCAGAUGAUAUCUAAUAAAUUGAUUUCUAUUUCUCUGUUUCAUUACAGAAUUGCUUAUUGUAAAAAAUACCUCUUGUCUUUGGAACACCUGAUUUUAUAAACAAUGAGUCAGUAAAUGUGAAUACUUAACAAGGCAGACUCUGCACUUCCAAGGAACAGUCAUGAUAAACUCUCUUUUAAAGGCAUCUAGUUAACAAAUUUCUUUAAUAGAAAAAUAUAAUGAGUUCUCUUGCUUGUUAAUAACUAUUUUGCUCUUCCCCUUUUCUUGAUUUGGAAAAGUUUUGAGCUUCCAACAGGAUCUUUAUGUAUCUGCAGUUUCCAGAGAAAAUAAUAUUUUGAAUGACCCAAACAAAACAAACAAAAAUGAAUUUAAAACCCAAACAAAACAAGCAAACAACCAAAACCCCAAUAAAUUUCUGUUUGUGCUUGGGAGUGCAUAUUUUGUCUGAAGGAAAAAAUGGGGUGAAACCUAGUUCUUAUUACAGUCCCCAUAAUUCUUCAUUUUAAAGGUAAAUUUAGAUGCUCUGAGUGGACCCUCAUCUUAAAUCAUGUUCUUCACUGUCAUUUCAAAGUUACCCAUAUACUAUACGAAUUUUUUGCCUAUUUAUUUGCAAAUUAUUUGCAUUAGAGGAAAAAAAAAAAAAAAACAACAAAAGCAAACACACCCCAAGCUGCUUACCCAAAUUUGAAGAAUCUCAUGCUGCAGGGACAGCCAACAACCUUGACACUGUGAACCCCACAUUCAUAUUCCCACAUAAAUAUAUUUUAUUUCUCACAUGGGUGAGAAAUACUUGGAGUGACACAAGCCUGUAAUAUCUGCCUACCUACAAAAGGAAAGUGUAACUGCAGUAUUUGCUAUAGGAAUCAAAGCAGUGAGGCACCCAAACUUUCCCAGGGAAAUCAGCUGACUAUUCAUGAACAUCAGAGCUUCACUGCAUGAAGGUCUAGACUGGCACUGAAAAUUUCCAGCUGCAGGAGGCAGCUGCUUGGAGCUGUCUCUUGGGAGCUGUCUCCUCUGAGUGAUGAUGAGAAUCUGUGCUUCAGCAAUCCAGAUGAAACAGGUUUUUACGGGAUGGGGCCUGGAGAGAAGGAAAAUAAUGCAGUAGCUUGCAAAAACCAACCCAGAGUGUUGUGUUUAGGGAAGGGGCUAAGCGUGCAGAACUGUCCUCCACACAACAGCAAAGGCAUCUUGGCUGCCUUUGAGUUUCCAUUUAUUAAUUUCUGCAGCCAAAGUUGUACAUCCAAAAUACUGAGUGAUGCCUCCCAUCCUCCCUCACGUAAACCUGUGGAGAAAAUCUGUGCCAAGCUUCCAACCAGGUACUCCUGGCUUGCUCUAGCAUUUCCAUGGGUUCUCUCCAAAAUGGUGGAAAGAAAGCUUCAAAGUAUCCCAAAAAUUUUACCAUGGGACUGCCUAGCACUGUCCUCAAUGAGCAAUUAGAGUGGAGCCCACUUGUCUUAUCCCUGAGGCAAAGCCAGGUCUGUGUCCCAGGAAUGUUGUGCCAGGGGAAUGCCUCAACCCUCCUCAAAAGACCUCCUGUGUCCUCAUGGUGCAGAAGUUAGAGGGAUCCAAAGUGAAGUGUUCAUAUUGCUGCUACAUUACAGAGUAGAAAAAAUAAAACAAUACAGC